rnacentral:rRNA from 1 species
GACGAACGCUGGCGGCGUGCCUAACACAUGCAAGUCGAACGGAACCGCCCUGCUUUGGUGCGCUGGGCGAGUGGCGGACGGGUGAGUAACACGUGAGUAACCUGUCCCUGACUGUGGGAUAAGCUAAGGCAAGUGGGGCUAAUACGGGCUAGGAGCUCCUGCUGCAUGGUGGGGGUUGGAUAGUUUCGGCGGUUGGUGGUGGAAUCGCGUCUUAUGGGCUUGUUGGUGGGGUAGUGGCAUACCAAGGCCUUGACGGGUAGCAGGGCUGGGAGGGUAACCGGCCACAUCGCGACUGAGAUACGGCCCAGCCUCGAACGGGAGGCAACGGUGGGGAAUGUUACACAGUGGGAGGAGGGCUGGUGCGACAACGCCGCGUGCGGGAUGUCAGGCUGCGGGUUGUGAACUGCAUUCGCCUGAGACGAGGCGAUAGUGACGGUAACGGGUGAAGAAGCACCGGCUAACUACGUG